UACGAAGGGGGGCUAGCGUUGUUCGGAAUUACUGGGCGUAAAGCGUGCGCAGGCGGCCUUCCAAGUCAGGGGUGAAAGCCCAGAGCUCAACUCUGGAAUUGCCUUUGAGACUGUGAGGCUUGAGUACGGGAGAGGUGAGUGGAAUUCCCAGUGUAGAGGUGAAAUUCGUAGAUAUUGGGAAGAACACCGGUGGCGAAGGCGGCUCACUGGCCCGAAACUGACGCUCAUGCACGACAGCGUGGGGAUCAAACAGG
rnacentral:rRNA from 1 species